AAUACUUUCAAUACUUUCUUUUUAUACAUUUUAUUCAGAAUUUUAUCACUCACUUAAUCAGUCUACAAUGCACCUAAAGAAAAAAAAGCUGUCCUAGGAUAAUUGGGAUGGGUGGGGUGCAGUCACUGUUUAGGCGACUGUAGGUAGAUCUAGUGACUCUAGAAGUAUGUCAUUUUUUGAUUUUUCAAAUAGUUUUUAUAAUAGUUGGAGAAAACGGGAAAAUAACAAAAAGUGAUUCCUUUUUUUAAAUAUUUAUGAAUGAUGUUUUAUACCAGUAGUAUUUCACCAAUUGAAAAAUAACAAGUCCUUUUUUGUUUCAUUUUUAACAUAUUUUCUUUAAAACUUUAUAAAGAAUAGGACAAUUUAGAAAAACAAUUCUUUUUUUUUAAAUAUCAUAUUGUUAAAAAUAUUCUUUGACUUGAAAUUUUAACAAAAAAUUUAUAUUUGCUUUUUUAAAGAUAUGGUAAAAAUUGAGAUAUAUUUAGAAAAUUUUAAUUUUGG